UACGGAGGGUGCGAGCGUUGUCCGGAAUCACUGGGCGUAAAGGGCGCGUAGGUUGGCGCGGGCAGUCAACGGUGAAAGUCCGGGCUCAACCCCGGAUCUGCCGUGCCGACUGUUAGGCUAGAGUACUGUAGGGGCAGGCGGAAUUCCGGGUGUAGCGGUGGAAUGCGUAGAGAUCCGGAGGAAGACCGGUGGCGAAGGCGGCCUGCUGGGCAGUUACUGACGCUGAGGAGCGAAAGCAUGGGGAGCGAACAGG
rnacentral:rRNA from 1 species